CUCAUGUCCUAAGCUGAUAUUGCCUAAUCUUGAUGGAUUCAAGUACUUGGAAGAGGUGUCAAUAAGAUAUUGCAAUUCCAUUGAAAGAGUGGACCUUUCACAAUUGAAUCGUCUAAAACAAUUACAGGCUAGGGAUUGCGACAAUCUAGUUGAAAUUCGAGGUCUUGAUAAGGCGGAGUUGUUAGAGGCAUUGAAUAUCUCUAAUUGUAGGUCCAUUGAAAGAUUACCUGACCUACCAUGCUUCGGGACCCUGAAAGAGUUGAAUAUCAAUGGUUGUCGCAAUUUACGUGGUGUCCAGAGUCUCGAGAAAUUCUUGUCUUGCCGAAGCAUAUAUAUAGAGGGGUGCCAAUCCCUAGAAAAACUACCAAACCUAUCGAAGUUUGAAAAUUUAGAGGAUUUCACAUUGAUAGAUUCCAUUGGUGUUACAGAAAUUCCCGGGGUUGAGGAAUCAGGAUCUCUAACUUAUAUAAAUAUCACAAGAUGUGAAUCAAUUGAGACUUUGCCAGAUUUGUCGAGAUGUGAGAAGUUACAAUCUCUACUGGUACGAGACUGCAUGAAACUUACUCAGCUUAGGGGACUUGAAAAGUUGGAUUUAAUUUGUUGGGAUAUUUCUGGGUGCAUCUCAUUGGAAACGGUACCGGAGUUACCUCGAAUAAGUCUAUCUUCGAAUCAUGAGGCAUGGGAAAAUGGAGGAGUGGGUGAUAAAAUUAUGUUGCGAUGAUAAUGGCGUGAUAAUUCUAAUAUUCAUGUUACAUCAACUGAGACGAGUCAUGUUUUCUUAAUAGAGGGUUCUGCAAUUUCCUAAUUCCCAGUCUUACAUAAUUGCAAGAGUGGGGGAGCAUGACGCUUCAGCCAAGAUCAAAAUGUAGAUGCAAAUGUAGUUGGACGUAUAUUAGAAGGCGUUGGUCAUCUGAGACCGAUCAAAAUGAAGAAGAGGGCCGAGGAAGCAUCAGGGACAGCUAAGGGCCAUCUUUUUGUGCCGACCUUGGAGAGGCUCACUAGCCAACUGAAGUGUCUUGAAGAAGUUUGUUAUGCCUGUGAAGAUCGAAGCACUCAAUCUAGUCUCAACAGCACACAACUGAAUGGUUGUGAAUGUAUUCAAUUUCGAUGGAAUCUGUUUUUUGUAUGCUCAUUAGGUUCUACCUCUCUAUUAAUCAAAUACGUACCUGCAGAUUUUUAUGCAUCUUACGCUGAUGCAGAGUUUGAUGCAGUUGCGUUCUCAUGACAUCAUUCCCGAACUCAACGAGGCUCUGCAGGGGAGCUAAUUGGAAAAGCCAAUUAGUGUGAGACCAAAAUACAAGUUUUAUAUUUGAUGAUGCGGUUCCAAACUAUAAGACACACACACCUCCAGGUCGUCCAAAACUUCUGCAUGGCUUGCCUCGGAGGACACAACCAAGAGAAGGCAACAAAAUCUCACCAAGGAAUGAUAAAAGCCGAGAGAGGAAGAGGAAGAAGAAGAAGAAGCACUCUGUGCCAUCUUUUUGUGAUCAGUCUUUACAACUUUCUGAUCAGGUUUUUGAUAAAGUUGUUCAAAAGUCUUUGCUCAUGAAAUUCUACAGUCCAAUCUCGCUCUCUGGCCAAACAGCAGUUUUCACUAUAGGUCUCAAUUAUGUUCAUAGAUGCCAUUGGUGAUGACCAAUGAAGGAGGAAAUGAAGCGGAAGAUGAAGAAUAAAAUCGGAAGGGAAUGUCUUCAAAGUUCAAACAUAACAGAAGGAAUGGUGAGGAUUGCAGCUACCUCUGCUACCAGGACCUUCUCAUGUGGACUCCGGUGCCGCCUCCUCUGUGGUAUGAUGACUAGUUCAUCAAAUGCCA